rnacentral:rRNA from 1 species
GAUGAACGCUGGCGGCGUGCUUAACACAUGCAAGUCGAACGGAAAGGCCCAAGCUUGCUUGGGUACUCGAGUGGCGAACGGGUGAGUAACACGUGGGUGAUCUGCCCUGCACUUCGGGAUAAGCCUGGGAAACUGGGUCUAAUACCGGAUAGGACGAUGGUUUGGAUGCCAUUGUGGAAAGUUUUUUCGGUGUGGGAUGAGCUCGCGGCCUAUCAGCUUGUUGGUGGGGUAAUGGCCUACCAAGGCGUCGACGGGUAGCCGGCCUGAGAGGGUGUACGGCCACAUUGGGACUGAGAUACGGCCCAGACUCCUACGGGAGGCAGCAGUGGGGAAUAUUGCACAAUGGGCGCAAGCCUGAUGCAGCGACGCCGCGUGGGGGAUGACGGCCUUCGGGUUGUAAACUCCUUUCGAUAGGGACGAAGCGUUUUUGUGACGGUACCUGGAGAAGAAGCACCGGCUAACUACGUG